rnacentral:lncRNA from 1 species
GUAAAAGAACCAUAUCCUGUGUUUGAAUCAAACCCCGAGUUCCUGUAUGUUUAGAAGGUUUGCCAGACAGGAUUCCCUUUUGAAGCCCUCCUGGUUUGGAAUUCCAUGACUUAAAAGGAUCGUCCGUGGGAGUAAUAACAUCAAGUCUGUUGGUAAAAACUUCGCAGUUUCUAAAAAGACCACGAAGCCCUGAGAGUAAUGAAAAGGUUCCUGAAAUUGAGGUCACUGUGGAAGAAGGAAACGUGUCAUGUACCAGCUAUCCAUCCAAUGACUGCCCAUCAGUUCCAUAUUCACCCUUCACUGCCUGAUCUGCA